AUCGCUUGCGAUUACACGAGUGGCGCACGGGUGCGUAACGCGUAUGCAACCUACCCUUUACUGGGGGAUAGCCCGGAGAAAUUCGGAUUAAUACCCCAUGGUAUUAUUUGAUGGCAUCUGAGAAUAAUUAAAGAUUUAUUGGUAAAGGAUGGGCAUGCGUCUGAUUAGCUAGUAGGUAGUGUAACGGACUACCUAGGCAACGAUCAGUAGGGGUUCUGAGAGGAUUAUCCCCCACACUGGCACUGAGAUACGGGCCAGACUCCUACGGGAGGCAGCAGUAGGGAAUAUUGGUCAAUGGGCGAGAGCCUGAACCAGCCAUGCCGCGUGCAGGAAGACGGCCUUCUGGGUUGUAAGCUGCUUUUAUCAGGGAACAAAAAGGCCAUGCGUGGCAAAUUGCGUGUACCUGAAGAAUAAGCACCGGCUAACUCCGUGCCAGCAGCCGCGGUAAUACGGAGGGUGCAAGCGUUGUCCGGAUUUAUUGGGUUUAAAGGGUGCGUAGGUGGCCGUAUAAGUCAGUGGUGAAAGCCUGCAGCUCAACUGUGGAAUUGCCAUUGAUACUGUACGGCUUGAGUACAGACGAGGUAGGCGGAAUUUAUGGUGUAGCGGUGAAAUGCAUAGAUACCAUAAAGAACACCGAUAGCGAAGGCAGCUUACUAGACUGUAACUGACACUGAUGCACGAAAGCGUGGGGAGCGAACAGGAUUAGAUACCCUGGUAGUCCACGCCGUAAACGAUGAUUACUCGAUGUAUGCGAUACACAGUAUGCG
rnacentral:rRNA from 1 species